rnacentral:misc_RNA from 1 species
UGGCUCUCGCAUCGAUGAAGAACGCAGCGAAAUGCGAUAAGUAAUGUGAAUUGCAGAAUUCAGUGAAUCAUCGAAUCUUUGAACGCACCUUGCGCCCUUUGGUACUCCGAAGGGCACGCCUGUUUGAGUGUCGUGAACUUCUCAACUCUUUCUUUCUUUACGGAAAGACUGAGCUUGGAUGUGGAGGCUUGCUGGUUCCCUUUUUGUGGAUGCAGCUCCUCUUGAAUGCAUUAGUGAGACCCUGUGCGGCCUUGGUGUGAUAAUUGUCUACGCCAUGGGCUUAGCUCUUGUGGGACUUGCUUCCAACUGUCUUUGUAUAGAGACGCUUUAUUAAAACUUGACCUCAAAUCAGGUGGGACUACCCGCUGA